rnacentral:rRNA from 1 species
AGUUUGAUCCUGGCUCAGGACGAACGCUGGCGGCGUGCUUAACACAUGCAAGUCGUACGGAGAAUUUAUUUCGGUAAAUUCUUAGUGGCGAACGGGUAAGUAACACGUGGGCAACCUGCCUCGUGGUUGGGGACAACAUUCCGAAAGGAGUGCUAAUACCGAAUACGCUCCAUUACCGGCAUCGGUUUUGGAGGAAAGAUGGCCUCUAUUUAUAAGCUAUCACCAUGAGAUGGGCCUGCGUCUGAUUAGCUAGUUGGUGAGGUAACGGCCCACCAAGGCGAUGAUCAGUAGCUGGUCUGAGAGGAUGAACGGCCACAUUGGGACUGAGACACGGCCCAAACUCCUACGGGAGGCAGCAGUGGGGAAUCUUCCGCAAUGGGCGAAAGCCUGACGGAGCAACGCCGCGUGAGUGAUGAAGGCCUUCGGGCUGUAAAACUCUGUUGUCAGGGACGAAGGUGCACCUUUCGAACAGAUGGGUGUAUUGACGGUACCUGACGAGGAAGCCACGGCUAACUACGUGCCAGCAGCCGCGGUAAUACGUAUGUGGCAAGCGUUGUCCGGAAUUAUUGGGCGUAAAGAGCAUGUAGGCGGGCCUUUAAGUCCGACGUGAAAAUGCGGGGCUCAACCCCGUAUGGCGUUGGAUACUGGAGGUCUUGAGUGCAAGGAAAAGGAAAUGGGGAUUCCCAGUGUAGCGGUGAAAUGCGUAAAUAUUGGGAAGAACACCAGUGGCGAAGGCCCUUUCUGACUGUGUCUGACGCUCAAAUGCGAAGCUAGGUAGCAACGGGAUAAAUACCCGUAGUCUAGCGUAACGAUGGGUACUAGUGUGGGAGUUCACCCUUCUGCGAUUACCAAUAAGUACCCCCGCCUGGGGAUUCGAUCGCAAGAUUGAAAUUCAAAAGGAAUUGCCGGGGCCCGCACAAGCGGUGGAGUAUGUGGUUUAUUUCGGCGCAACGGAAGAACCUUUCCAAGGCUUGACAUUGAGUGAAAGGGUAAGAGAUUAGCCCCUCUUUCGGAGACACGAAAACAGGUGGUGCAUGGCUGUGUCAGCCUGUGUCGUGAGAUGUUGGGUUAAGUCCCGCAACGAGCGCAACCCCUAUCCUAUGUUACUAGCGGGUAAUGCCGGGGACUCAUAGGAGACUGCCAGGGAUAACCUGGAGGAAGGCGGGGAUGACGUCAAGUCAUCAUGCCCCUUAUGUCUUGGGCUACACACGUACUACAAUGGUCGGCAACAAAGGGCAGCGAAACCGCGAGGUGGAGCAAAUCCCAUAAACCCGGCCUCAGUUCAGACCGUAGGCUGCAACCCGCCUACGCGAAGUCGGAAUCGCUAGUAAUCGCAGGUCAGCAUACUGCGGUGAAUACGUUCCCGGGCCUUGUACACACCGCCCGUCACACCACGAAAGUUGGUAACACCCGAAGCCGGUGAGAUAACUCGCAAGAGAGUCAGCUGUCUAAGGUGGGGCCGAUGAUUGGGGUGAAGUCGUAACAAGGUAACCGUAUGGUUACCUUGUUACGACUUAUCCUGAGCCAGGAUCAAACUCU